rnacentral:rRNA from 1 species
CAGCCGCCACGGUAAUACAGAGGAUGCAAGCGUUAUCCGGAAUGAUUGGGCGUAAAGUGUCUGUAGGUGGCUUUUCAAGUCCGCCGUCAAAUCCCAGGGCUCAACCCUGGACAGGCGGUGGAAACUACCAAGCUGGGUAUGGUAGGGGCAGAGGGAAUUUCCGGUGGAGCGGUGAAAUGCGUUGAGAUCGGAAAAAACACCAACGACGAAAGCACUCUGCUGGGCCGACACUGACACUUAGAGACGAAAGCUAGGGGAGCAAAUGGGAUUAGAUACCCCAGUAGUCCCUGUCUCUUAUACC